ensembl:rRNA 5S_rRNA 5S ribosomal RNA
GCUUACGGCCACACAGCCUGGUUCCUCCUGAUCUCGUUUGAUCUCGGAAGCUAAGAUAGGUUGGGCCUGGUUAGUACUUGGAUGGGAGACCGUCUGGGAAUACCAGGUGCUGUAUGCU